AUUGAACGCUGGCGGCAGGCCUAACACAUGCAAGUCGAACGAGUGGCGGACGGGUGAGUAAUGUCUGGGAAACUGCCUGAUGGAGGGGGAUAACUACUGGAAACGGUAGCUAAUACCGCAUACCAUCAGAUGUGCCCAGAUUGGAUUAGCUAGUUGGUGGGGUAACGGCUCACCAAGGCGACGAUCCCUAGCUGGUCUGAGAGGAUGACCAGCCACACGGGAACUGAGACACGGUCCAGACUCCUACGGGGUGCAGCGGUGGGGAAUAUUGCACAAGGGGCGCAAGCCUGAUGCAGCCAUGCCGGGGGUAUGAAGAAGGCCGUCGGGUUGUAAAGUUCUGUCAGCGGGGAGGCGUUACCCGCAGAAGAAGCACCGGCUAACUCCGUGCCAGCAGCCGCGGUAAUUC
rnacentral:rRNA from 1 species